rnacentral:rRNA from 1 species
GACCCCUUAUCGGGGUUGCGGACAGUGCCUGGUGGGUAGUUUGACUGGGGCGGUCUCCUCCCAAAGAGUAACGGAGGAGCACGAAGGUGGGCUAAUCACGGUUGGACAUCGUGAGGUUAGUGCAAUGGCAUAAGCCCGCUUGACUGCGAGAAUGACAAUUCGAGCAGGUGCGAAAGCAGGUCAUAGUGAUCCGGUGGUUCUGAAUGGAAGGGCCAUCGCUCAACGGAUAAAAGGUACUCCGGGGAUAACAGGCUGAUACCGCCCAAGAGUUCAUAUCGACGGCGGUGUUUGGCACCUCGAUGUCGGCUCAUCACAUCCUGGGGCUGAAGUCGGUCCCAAGGGUAUGGCUGUUCGCCAUUUAAAGUGGUACGCGAGCUGGGUUUAGAACGUCGUGAGACAGUUCGGUCCCUAUCUGCCGUGGGCGUUGGAAGAUUGAAGGGGGCUGCUCCUAGUACGAGAGGACCGGAGUGGACGAACCUCUGGUGUUCGGGUUGUGUCGCCAGACGCAUUGCCCGGUAGCUAAGUUCGGAAUCGAUAACCGCUGAAAGCAUCUAAGCGGGAAGCGAGCCCUGAGAUGAGUCUUCCCUGAUACUUUAAGUAUCCUAAAGGGUUGUCGGAGACUACGACGUUGAUAGGUCAGGUGUGUAAGUGCUGUGAGGCAUUGAGCUAACUGAUACUAAUUGCCCGUGAGGCUUAACCAU